AUCCAGCUGACGAGUCCAAAAUAGCACGAAACGCACGUCAAACUGGAU
rnacentral:hammerhead_ribozyme from 1 species